UAGGGAAUAUUGCACAAUGGAGGAAACUCUGAUGCAGCGAUGCCGCGUGAGUGAAGAAGGCCCUUGGGUUGUAAAGCUCUUUCGUCGGGGAUGAAAAUGACUGUACCCGAAUAAGAAGGUCCGGCUAACUUCGUGCCAGCAGCCGCGGUAAUACGAAGGGACCUAGCGUAGUUCGGAAUUACUGGGCUUAAAGAGUUCGUAGGUUGUUAAAAAAGUUGGUGGUGAAAUCCCAGAGCUUAACUCUGGAACUGCCAUCAAAACUUUUUAGCUAGAGUUUGAUAGAGGUUAGUAGAAUUUCCAGUGUAGAGGUGAAAUUCGUAGAUAUUGGAAAGAAUACCAAUUGCGAAGGCAGCUUUCUGGAUCAUUACUGACACUGAGGAACGAAAGCAUGGGUAGCGAAGAGG
rnacentral:rRNA from 1 species